rnacentral:rRNA from 1 species
GACGAACGCUGGCGGCGUGCUUAACACAUGCAAGUCGAACGGAAAGGCCCUGCUUUUGUGGGGUGCUCGAGUGGCGAACGGGUGGGUAACACGUGAGUAACCUGCCCUUGACUUUGUGAUAACUUCAGGAAACUGGGGCUAAUACCGGAUAGGAGCUCCUGCUGCAUGGUGGGGGUUGGAAAGUUUCGGCGGUUGGGGAUGGACUCGCGGCUUAUCAGCUUGUUGGUGGGGUAGUGGCUUACCAAGGCUUUGACGGGUAGCCGGCCUGAGAGGGUGACCGGCCACAUUGGGACUGAGAUACGGCCCAGACUCCUACGGGAGGCAGCAGUGGGGAAUAUUGCACAAUGGGCGGAAGCCUGAUGCAGCAACGCCGCGUGCGGGAUGACGGCCUUCGGGUUGUAAACCGCUUUCGCCUGUGACGAAGCGUGAGUGACGGUAAUGGGUAAAGAAGCACCGGCUAACUACGUG